GAUGAACGCUAGCGGCAGGCCUAAUACACGCAAGCUGAACGGCAAGUUGAAUAGCAAUAUUUGACCUAGAGUAGCGUAAGGGUGCGUAACACGUAUGCAAUCUGCCCGCAACAGGAGGAUAGCUUGAUGAAAGUUGAGAUAAGACUCCAUAAGAUCACAGGAGGGCAUCUGAUAGUGAUUAAACUACAAGGGGUUGCGGAUGAGCAUGCGCAUGAUUAGUUAGUUGGCGGGUAACGGACCCGACCAA
rnacentral:rRNA from 1 species